UUUACCGUGUAAUACAUUUCCAACACACUUAACGUUAUAAUGUAUUAAUAUUAAUAGUAUUAUGCUAUAUCCGUACACGUGCUUCAUGUGAGCGUCGGUCCAUUAAGGGCCCUGUAUGCUAAGUGAUUUACAAACUAUGUUAUUUUUUCACUACAAAGCGAGUCUCCGUGCUACUUUCAGAUGUUUAUUUUUAUCUAAACACUAUUGUGGACUUAUGGGGUGUAUCUGUAAGAAGGUUUCCAUGCUUUCAGUGGGCAUUCGGCAAGCUACACACAACUCGAGUAAAGUUUUCCAACUGUUAUUUUCUAGCUAGCUAGCCAAGCGGUUAAUGUUAUCCAACCAGAAGCAUCAUAACUCACUAUUCUGUAGGCACCCAAGGGAAACAACAGAACUGAAAAAAGAACAAUCACUUGUAUUUUAAAG